rnacentral:tRNA from 1 species
AUUUAUAUAGUUUAACAAAAACAUUACCUUUUCAAUGUAAAAAUAAGAUAAUCUUUAUAAAUU